GAUGAACGCUGACAGAAUGCUUAACACAUGCAAGUCAACUUGAAUUUGGGUUUUUAACUUAGGUUUGGGUGGCGGACGGGUGAGUAACGCGUAAAGAACUUGCCUCACAGCUAGGGACAACAUUUGGAAACGAAUGCUAAUACCUAAUAUUAUGAUAAUAGGGCGUCCUAUAAUUAUGAAAGCUAUAAGCGCUAUGAGAGAGCUUUGCGUCCCAUUAGCUAGUUGGAGAGGUAACGGCUCACCAAGGCGAUGAUGGGUAGCCGGCCUGAGAGGGUGAUCGGCCACAAGGGGACUGAGACACGGCCCUUACUCCUACGGGAGGCAACAGUGGGGAAUAUUGGACAAUGGACCGAGAGUCUGAUCCAGCAAUUCUGUGUGCACGAUGAAGUUUUUCGGAAUGUAAAGUGCUUUCAGUUGGGAAGAAACAAAUGACGGUACCAACAGAAGAAGUGACGGCUAAAUACGUG
rnacentral:rRNA from 1 species